rnacentral:rRNA from 1 species
GACGAACGCUGGCGGCGUGCUUAACACAUGCAAGUCGAACGGGUCUGCCCUGUUUUUUGCGGGGUGGGUCAGUGGCGAACGGGUGAGUAACACGUGAGUAACCUGCCCCUCACUUCUGGAUAACCGCUUGAAAGGGUGGCUAAUACGGGGUGUUCUGGCUGUGCCGCAUGGUGUGGCUGGGAAAGAUUCACUUUUGUGGUGUUUUGGUGGGGGAUGGGCUCGCGGCCUAUCAGCUUGUUGGUGGGGUGAUGGCCUGCCAAGGCUUUGACGGGUAGCCGGCCUGGGAGGGUGGGCGGUCACACUGGGACUGAGAUACGGCCCAGACUCCUGCGGGAGGCAGCAGUGGGGGGUAUUGCACAAUGGGCGGAAGCCUGAUGCAGCGACGUCGCGUGAGGGAUGGAGGCUUUCGGGUUGUGAACCUCUUUCGCCGGUGAAGAAGGUCCUGCUCUUUGUGGUGGGGUUGACGGUAGCCGGGUUAUGAAGCGCCGGCUAACUACGUG